GACGAACGCUGGCGGCGUGCUUAACACAUGCAAGUCGAGCGGAGCGGCGAACGGGUGAGUAACGCGUGAGUAACUGCCCCCCUCUCUGGGAUAACAGUCGGAAACGGCUGCUAAUACCGGAUAGUGGGGGAUGACUUGCGUCCUCUCAGCGUGUUGGUGGGGUAGUGGCCUACCAAGGCGACGACGGGCAGCCGGCCUGAGAGGGGGACCGGCCACAUAGGGCUGAGAUGCGGGCCAAACUGCUACGGGAGGCAGCAGUGGGGAAUAUUGCACGAUGGGGGGAGCCCUGAUGGAGCAACGCCGCGUGCGGGAUGACGGCCUUCGAGUUGUAAACCGCUUUCAGCAAUGACGCGGUAGUGACAGAGAAAGCGCCGGCUAACUACGUGCCAGCAGCCGCGGUAAUUC
rnacentral:rRNA from 1 species